rnacentral:hammerhead_ribozyme from 1 species
AUCUAGCUGACCAGUCCCAAAUAGGACGAAACACGCAUCCUGGAU